UAUUGUAUUUUCUGAUGAAGUU
rnacentral:siRNA from 1 species